rnacentral:rRNA from 1 species
GACGAACGCUGGCGGCGUGCUUAACACAUGCAAGUCGAACGGAAAGGCCCUGCUUUUGCGGGGUGCUCGAGUGGCGAACGGGUGUGUAACACGUGAGUAUCCCGCCCUUGACUUUGUGAUAACCUCAGGAAACUGCGGCUAAUACCGGAUAGGAGCUCCUGCUGCAUGGUGGGGGUUGGAAAGUUUCGGCGGGUGGGGAUGGAUGGGGGGCUUAUCAGCUUGUUGGUGGGGGAGUUGCUUACCAAGCGUUCGACGGGUAGCCGGCAUGGGAGGGUGAACAGGGACAAGGGGACUGAGGGAGGCAGCAGACUGGAACAGGAGGCAGCGGUGGAAAGUAUUGCCCAGCGAGCGGACGCGUGAUACGGAGGCGCUGCGAGCGGGAAGACGGCUUUCUGGUGGUAAACGGCAUUCGGUUGAGACGAAGCGUGAGUGACGGUAAUGGCUGAAGAAGCACCGGCUAACUACGUG